rnacentral:misc_RNA from 1 species
UUAAGUUCAGUGGGUAUUCCUACCUGAUUCGAGGUCAACCACUAAAAAGAUGGGGUUUUCCGGCUGGACAACGUCCCACACCCAGAACGAGAUGUAACUACUGCGUUCGGUUUUGGGGCGCCGCCGCCGCUUGCUUUGGGAGGCUGCAGUGCGUCCUCCAACGCCAGGCAGGGCCUGAGGGUUGCAAUGACGCUCGAACA